rnacentral:rRNA from 1 species
UGGGGAAUUUUGGACAAUGGGCGAAAGCCUGAUCCAGCAAUGCCGCGUGUGUGAAGAAGGCCUUCGGGUUGUAAAGCACUUUUGUCCGGAAAGAAAUCCUUGGCUCUAAUACAGUCGGGGGAUGACGGUACCGGAAGAAUAAGCACCGGCUAACUACGUGCCAGCAGCCGCGGUAAUACGUAGGGUGCAAGCGUUAAUCGGAAUUACUGGGCGUAAAGCGUGCGCAGGCGGUUUGCUAAGACCGACGUGAAAUCCCGGGCUCAACCUGGGAACUGCAUUGGUGACUGGCAGGCUAGAGUAUGGCAGAGGGGGGUAGAAUUCCACGUGUAGCAGUGAAAUGCGUAGAGAUGUGGAGGAAUACCGAUGGCGAAGGCAGCCCCCUGGGGCCAAUACUGACGCUCAUGCACGAAAGCGUGGGGAGCAAAACAGGAUUAGAUACCCUGGUAGUCCACGCCCUAAACGAUGUCAACUAGUUGUUGGGGAUUCAUUUCCUUAGUAACGUAGCUAACGCGUGAAGUUGACCGCCUGGGGAGUACGGUCGCAAGAUUAAAACUCAAAGGAAUUGACGGGGUCAUAGCUGUUUCCU